rnacentral:rRNA from 1 species
CACAGCACAAACCAAUAAAUCCCACUAAUACCCGCGAUCUCCUAGAAACCCACAGAGCCACACUAUUACGAUAGAUGAACUAAUGCUAGAACUAGUAACAAGAAAACCCUUCUCUCAGGCACCCCUUUGACCCAGAAAUAGAAAACCUACUGGACAUUAACAGACCAAAACAGGUACAACAACAACCAGCCAAAACUGUUACAACGACUGUCAACCCAACACAGGAGUGCUAAAAAGAUAGAUUAAAAGCCGUAAAAGGAACUCGGCAAAACCUUGCCCCAACUGUUUACCAAAAACAUAGCCUUUAGCCAAACAAGUAUUAAAGGUCCUGCCUGCCCAGUGAAACAAUUUUAACGGCCGCGGUAUCCUAACCGUGCAAAGGUAGCGUAAUCACUUGUCUUCUAAAUAAAGACUAGUAUGAACGGCUAAAUGAGGACAAACCUGUCUCUUACGACCAAUCAGUGAAACUGAUCUUCCAGUACAAAAGCUGGAAUAAAUACAUAAGACGAGAAGACCCUGUGGAGCUUAAAACAACCGCUAACAAGCACUAAAUGCUCCUAGCCCAAAGUUUUAAGUUGGGGCGACUUCGGAACAAAACAAAACUUCCGAGCACAGAACCACCAGUUCUCACCAAGGCUAACAAGCCAAAGUAUAAACCGACCCAGUCAUACUGAUCAACGAACCAAGUUACCCCAGGGAUAACAGCGCUAUCUUCUUCAAGAGUCCCUAUCGACAAGAAGGUUUACGACCUCGAUGUUGGAUCAGGACACCCAAAUGGUGCAGCCGCUAUUAAAGGUUCGUUUGUUCAACGAUUAACAGU